rnacentral:lncRNA from 1 species
CCUUGCUGUUAAUUCUGUGUUUGAUGCCUCUACCCCUAUUAGGAAAAUACAGUUGCUUUAAGUUUGUUACAGAACUGACCCAUUAUUAACAUUUUCCUAAUCCAUACUAGCCAACCCAACUUUCUGUUGUAGAGAACAUCAGUGAAUGAAUGGAGGAAUCUCUAGCUUCAAAUACAUCUGCAAGCUUAUGAAGACAGUAAAGGACACAUUUAGAGGAGGAUGCCAGUGUGAAGGAGUAGCUUCCAUUUCUGAAAGGACAUCUGACUCACAUACACCUGACUGACAUAGAAGGCAAGAAGAUCACCAAGUGACUCGUUUGCCCCUAUGUCCAAGGAGGUCAGGGUGAUUGGGAGAUUUUAUCAUCUGUCCUCACCACUCCACAGUCCAGAGGCUGACGGGGGGCCCAGGCUGUUAUCUUCAAGAUCACAGCACUGAAAAAAAACUCUGAACUUAUCAGCUGGAGCAUGAAUAAGGUUAGGAUGUGCAUGGAGGUAGAAGACUGAAAACAGAGACCUAAUUUGAUGGAAAAAGAGAUGAAAAUAAAUACAAGAGAGCGUGUUCUCA